GACGAACGCUGGCUGCGUGCCUAAUACAUGCAAGUAGAACGCAGUUGCGAACGGGUGAGUAACGCGUAGGUCACUGCCUGGUAGCGGGGGAUAACUAUUGGAAACGAUAGCUAAUACCGCAUACUGCCAGAUGGACCUGCGUUGUAUUAGCUAGUUUGUGGGGUAACGGCUCACCAAGUCAACGAUACAUAGCCGGCGUGAGAGGGUGACCGGCCACAUGGGGACUGAGAUACGGCCCAGACUCCUACGGGAGGCAGCAGGGGGGAAUUUUGGACAAUGGGCGCAAGCCUGAUCCAGCCAUGCCGCGUGUCUGAAGAAGGCCUUCGGGUUGUAAAGGACUUUUGUUAGGGAAGCGUUACCUAAAUAAUAAGCACCGGCUAACUACGUGCCAGCAGCCGCGGUAAUAC
rnacentral:rRNA from 1 species